UAGUUCCUCGCAAGUAGGCGUACGAUCGCCGAGCAUGCGUCGCAGAUGGGUCUUAACGCUUUUGACCCCUGCCUCCCAGAUUCCUCCAAAAUGAGGAGCUGCCGGCGGAAUAAAGUGCCACGUGAUAUAAUCGGCAGCUAAACGCGAACGAAGGCAAUCCGCGGCGAGACGUGAAGCGUUCAAAUGCUGCUAGAAACGCUGAAGUGGAGUAGUCGCGCACCAAUUCGAGGUGGAUAGCGCGAGUCGCCAAACAAACAAAAAGAGCGAUGUAAACCUUUUGCGCCCUUUGCCCACGUCCACGAUACGCGAGAGCAGAGAACGGUCCUGCGUAAUCCAGGCCGCAAUGGACGAACGCUCGAGAUGGAGUGACUCUCACCGCAGCUUCCUUCGGGACCGUAGGCUUACUUUCUGGCCACUCAUUAGGAGC